GGUCGCAUGCUGCUGGUGUUUUGUGUCCACGCACACACACACACACACACACACAGUCAUGACAGAAGAAGUCUAAUUCUUCGGGGCUCACCACAAACGGCGAUUUAGCGUGUGAUCCACAUGUUCCUUUUGAGUCGUUCCCACGUGGGGAGGACGUGCCACGCUACGCUCCCACCCCGUGUCAGGUGGUGACGUGCAGGAAGUGAGUGAUUCCCGUCAGCCUGUUCUACUUGGCUGGACUUCCAGGCUGGAUCACAUAUGACGCCGCCACAACGUGAUCAUGUGACGACCGGCACCCCAGUGAGCACAAUUGGCGCGACGGUCCAGACGAGAUUGCCGCCGCAACUAUACCAGAAGCAAAAUGGCCACAUUGGCAUUGGUUUAGGAUGCCUUCCACCAGUGAUGUGACUGCCCACCAUCACCAAAAGCAAAGCACCGAUUGAAG